CGUCCAUGAUCUGCGGACAGAUGAAAUGGACGUGGCAGUCGAUCGCGCCGGCGGUGACGAUCUUGCCGUUGCCCGCGAUGAUCUCGGUCGACGGUCCGAUGACGAGGUCCGGAUGCACCCCGUCCAUGGUGUCGGGGUUGCCCGCCUUGCCCAUCGCGACGAUGCGGCCGUCGCGAAUCCCCAGGUCCGCCUUGAUGAUUCCCCAGUGAUCGAGGACGACGACACCGGUGAUGAUCGUGUCGGGAGCGCCGUCGGCGCGGGUGGCCCGGCUCUGUCCCAUCGACUCG
rfam:Gordonia terrae NBRC 100016 DNA, contig: GOTRE123.